CUCUCUUUUCUUUCUAGAACUCUUCGUAGUCCGUAUAUGUUCUUUCUCUCUGGAACUGUUUGUGUCUCUUCUCUCUCUCUCUCUCUUAUCUUCUUCUCCUUCUUUCUAAUAAACAUAUUUUUUUCUUUUUUCUUUUCCUCCCAAACUACCGAUCUGUACUGUGAUUCAACUCCUUCACAACCCAGCCUCAGCAUCGAUCUCUCUCUACGAAUCCAGAUCAACAAAAAAAUUUGAAACCUAAGAACAUUUGCAGCCGAUCUGCAUGAGAGAAGAGCCAGAAAAAAAUAAAAUUGGAGCUCAAGUCCGUAUAUGUUCUUUCUCUCUGGAACUCUCUGUAUCUCUUCUCUCUCUCUUUUCUCUCUAUCAUUUCAAGACGACAGGACUAGAUCGGCUCAGGAAGAAAGAAAGAAAAAAAAACAUGGGAAGAAACACCGACUAAUUUUUACAGUUUUGAUAAAGAAAGGAGAUUUGGUUCCAUUUUGGGUAUUUUUGGCUUACACAAGAAACAGAGAUGGGAGUGGGUGAGAGUGGCAAACAGAGAGUGGUGAAAGACGAGAGACCUCAUUUUGGCACUAAAGAACUCUGAGUUUCUUCUUUUCAAUGGAACCAAAUCUCCUUUCUUUAUCAAAGCCUAAAAGAUCCGUAUGAGCUAAUAUGGGUAUUAACCAUUCUUUAUCAAAACUCUGAGUUACUCCCUCUUAUCUUCUUCUCUCUACACAUGAUUUUUUUUUUUCCCUUCUCUCUUCUUCCUCCCAAAUCACCUAUCUGUCCUGUGAUUUGAACUCCUUCACAGCCCAGCCUCAGUAUCGAUCAAAGAAAGAUUUGGAACUCAAGAACAUUUGCCGCCGAUUUGCAUGAGAGAUAAAAAAAAAAAAAAAAAUGGAGUCAAAAGCUCAAACGCUAUUUGUGAUCUCUGUGGGUUGGUGGAUGUGCUAGAGAUAGGCGGUUGCAGGUGUUCUUUUUGUGGAGUAGGAUUAGAAUGCCUUUUUGGUUGUUGGAGGUAAGGAGAUUAGAGGCUCUAUCUUUGAUUUUGAAGGGGCCCUGUGGUUUACCCCGAUCCUUGGUGAGUCGGGGUAUUGGCUAAAAAUCCACUGAGGUCCUUGAGAUGGCACGAGUCAUCAAGUAAAGGUUUGUGAUUCCAAGGCUGCAGAGCAAGAGAUUGUUCUUGAGAAGUUUGAUGUUUUAAGGGAUUGAAGACCAACAUUACCAAAGAGCUCAAUGCCAGGCACAAAAGCUAGCGAUUAUGGACUGUGGCUAUGAUUUGUUGAGCUUCUUUGAGUUGUGAAACUGAAGCUCCCUCUCUUUCCAAAGAGUACCGAUCACACAUGCAGCAGAACAACAUCCUGAUGAGGUCAAAUUUUCAAGGUUCGAGGACAUGAAAGCAAAUGUCCAUAAGGCAUUUGAUGAAGAGCUUCUAUUAUAGCAUAUGACAACAUUAAUUGCGAAAAAUUAAAUAUUGUUACAAUGUUGUAGCAAAACUCGGUUGGUUAUUGUUGAAGGAUGAUAUUUGUAACUUGUAAGCAUUCUUAGAAGUUUUUAUUGAAUGGACAUUGCUUUUAACAAAUAUGUUCUAAAAGACUAUCAUAGUAUAAUAGAUAUUCUUAUUUGAAUAUUUAAUCUAAAUUUGUGUAAUUAAAAUUCUUAUAUGAAUGAGAUUAGCAUUAUAUGACA